GAGAAAGACAUACAUAAGAACUGCUAAUUCUUACAACUGAUACUAAAACCUCAGCUCUCUCA
rnacentral:tRNA from 1 species